rnacentral:misc_RNA from 1 species
CUGAUUUUUGAAGUUUGUCAAGGUUUUUGAUGCUCUUUUUAGAGCUCACCUUUUCAACUUCUUUUCACACUAUGUGCAACUUUUUGUUUUUUUGGGUAUUUAGAGUUUGACUUUAAUGCCCAAACAUUUUUUUAAACCUUUGUUUUUUAUUUUGUCUGAUUUAAAUCGUUUAAAAAUCGAUAA